AGAAAGAGAGUUUAAGACAAUCUGAGUUCUGAAUGAUACACAGUACCUUAUAUUGGAGUUACCCAGGCCACACAGUCUAUAUGAUUCAGUUACCCAGGUCACACAGUCUAUAUGAUUCAGUUACCCAGGUCACACAGUCUAUAUGAUUCAGUUACCCAGGUCACACAGUCUAUAUGAUUCAGUUACCCAGGUCACACAGUCUAUAUGAUUCAGUUACCCAGGUCACACAGUCUAUAUGAUUCAGUUACCCAGGUCACACAGUCUAUAUGAUUCAGUUACCCAGGUCACACAGUCUAUAUGAUUCAGUUACCCAGGUCACACAGUCUAUAUGAUUCAGUUACCCAGGUCACACAGUCUAUAUGAUUCAGUUACCCAGGUCACACAGUCUAUAUGAUUCAGUUACCCAGGUCACACAGUCUAUAUGAUUCAGUUACCCAGGUCACACAGUCUAUAUGAUUCAGUUACCCAGGUCACACAGUCUAUAUGAUUCAGUUACCCAGGUCACACAGUCUAUAUGAUUCAGUUACCCAGGUCACACAGUCUAUAUGAUUCAGUUACCCAGGUCACACAGUCUAUAUGAUUCAGUUACCCAGGUCACACAGUCUAUAUGAUUCAGUUACCCAGGUCACACAGUCUAUAUGAUUCAGUUACCCAGGUCACACAGUCUAUAUGAUUCAGUUACCCA